rnacentral:rRNA from 1 species
ACUGGGCGUAAAAGCGCAUGCAGGCGGCCUGUUAAGUCAGAUGUGAAAAAGCCCCGGGCUUAAACCUCGGAAAUUGCAUUUUGAAAAACUGGCAGGCUAGAGUCUUGUAGAGGGGGUAGAAUUUCAGGUGUAGCGGUGAAAAUGCGUAGAGAUCUGAAGGAAUACCAGUGGCGAAGGCGGCCCCUGGACAAAGACUGACGCUCAGAUUCGCGAAAGCGUGGGGAGCAAACCAGGAUUAGAUACCCUCGGUAG